CCUGGCGGCCAUAGCGGCAGGGAGACUCCUGAACCCUUCCCGAACUCAGAAGAUAAGCCUGCCCGCGUUUGACACUGUACUCAGGUGCGCGAGCCCUCGGGAAAUGUCAAUCGCUGCCAUGC
rnacentral:rRNA from 1 species